rnacentral:rRNA from 1 species
CACGUAGGGCGCAAGCGUUGUCCGGAAUUAUUGGGCGUAAAGAGCUCGUAGGCGGCUUGUUGCGUCGACUGUGAAAACCCGCGGCUUAACUGCGGGCUUGCAGUUGAUACGGGCAGGCUAGAGUUCGGUAGGGGAGACUGGAAUUCCUGAUGUAGCGGUGAAAUGCGCAGAUAUCAGGAGGAACACCAAUGGCGAAGGCAGCUCGCUGGGACGGUACUGACGCUGAGACGCGAAAGCGUGGGGAGCGAACAGG